UUUCCGUAGGUGAACCUGCGGAAGGAUCAUUACCGAGUGAGGGCCCUCUGGGUCCAACCUCCCACCCGUGUUUAUCGUACCUUGCUGCUUCGGCGGGCCCGCCUCACGGCCGCCGGGGGGCACCCGCCCCCGGGCCCGCGCCCGCCGAAGACACCAUUGAACGCUGUCUGAAGAUUGCAGUCUGAGCAUCUUAGCUAAAUCAGUUAAAACUUUCAACAACGGAUCUCUUGGUUCCG
rnacentral:misc_RNA from 1 species